rnacentral:rRNA from 1 species
UACAGAGGUGGCAAGCGUUGUUCGGAAUUACUGGGCGUAAAGGGCGCGUAGGCGGUCUUGCAAGUCCCGUGUGAAAUCCCUCGGCUCAACUGAGGAACUGCACGGGAAACUGCCUGGCUUGAGUUCGGGAGAGGGAAGCGGAAUUCCGGGUGUAGCGGUGAAAUGCGUAGAUAUCAGGAGGAACACCGGUGGCGAAGGCGGGACUCUGGGCCGAUACUGACGCUGAGGAGCGAAAGCGUGGGGAGCGAACAGG